CCUACGGGAGGCUGCAGUGGGGAAUCUUGGUCAAUGGGCGCAAGCCUGAACCAGCGACGCCGCGUGAGUGAUGAAGGCCUUCGGGUUGUAAAGCUCUGUGGGGAGAGACGCGGUAUCUCCUUAGCAAGCACCGGCUAACUCUGUGCCAGCAGCCGCGGUAAGACAGAGGGUGCAAACGUUGCUCGGAAUCACUGGGCGUAAAGGGCGUGUAGGCGGGUAGAUAAGUCGGGCGUGAAAUCCCUAGGCUCAACCUAGGAACUGCACUCGAAACUGUUUAUCUUGAGUGCCGGAGAGGAAAGCGGAAUUCCUGGUGUAGAGGUGAAAUUCGUAGAUAUCAGGAGGAACACCAGUGGCGAAGGCGGCUUUCUGGACGGUACUGACGCUGAGACGCGAAAGCGUGGGGAGCAAACAGGAUUAGAUACCCUUGUAGUC
rnacentral:rRNA from 1 species